AUAUAAUAAUAAUAAUAAUAAUAUAAAAUAUUUGUCAAAAUUCGAUUUCUGUAUGUAUACAGAAGUUACUUUGAUUUUUAAUGCAUUACUUAUCUUUAAGCAUUGUGAUACAAAUUAUAGUUUAAGUUGAGGAUAACAGAUGGCACUUCUUGCGUUUAAAUUUUUAUUGGUUCCUGUCUCCCUAUAUAUUGUGUAUAUAAACAAAAUUCUAAAGAAGCUUUUAGAGAAAAGUGAAUUAUUACAUAUUAAUUUUAUACUGCUUACAUAUUGGUUAUUCUCUUAUAAUAUUUAAAAAUUAAAUUUUUUUUCUUUCUGUGAAAAAUUAGUAUUGUGCCUUCCACUCGUUUUUAAGUUAUUUAGAUCAAGUUUUGAAUACUAUCAAGUUAAAAAUUCGAAUGAAUCGUUAACGUCCUAUUAGGUAUAAUAUGCUGUCUACAUGACUACAGGCUAGCACUUUAGAGGUGAAGAUGAAGGUAGAACAGUUGUAAUUUAUGGCUCAACAUUGCAUACCACUCUUUCUUCGAAAAUAGAUUCUGACUGUGCAUUGCUUUUUCCAUUUUUCUUGGAUGGAAUGUCACCAACUGACAUUGCAAUCCGAAGGAAGACUUUUCAAUUUUUAUUUCUAUUUUUAUCCGGAAGAGCACGUUCCGUUUAAAUUGAAAAUUUUCGUCUUUUCUUCCUAGAUAUAUAUUAUAGGGGGAAAAAUCAAGGUUAAAAGUGUUUCAUUGCCCUCAUCGAUCUUUAUAUUUUGCGCUGAUGGUUGGAAUUGAAUACACAGAAACGACGACUGAUGUGGGAGGCGACGCCUCGCAGCAUUCACGAAGGAGUGCAGUCGGCCAUCAUGAACAGCGACUGUCUAGUGUUCGAUAACAACGUAGCCCAGCUUUUCGCUGAUAACGGUAACCUGGGUAUCAACGUCACCAUCACCGUCUGUUGAUGCCAUGUGCCUUUUAACAGUUAAUUGGCCACUCCCAGUCUUCCACCCCCGGAUCCCGCUCUAGUUCCUUCGGUCCUGUAUUUAGUUUUCGUAUAUGUCUGUACCUAGAAAACCGGUUGCCAUGGUUACCAUCUCGUCUUCAAUUUGUCCAAGGAUGAUUUGGCAUGACCUUGUUUUCUGUUGUCGCGUUUAUCUCAUGUACUGUACCCCGUGUACGGGCCUAUUUAUUCGUUUGUAUGGUUAAAGUAUUGGACCGUAUCAGGCUCCCAUUCAACGUAACAUUGUUUAUAUCUAUCAUACUAUUUGUACAUAAAUAAUCGUGCAUAUUAUAAAUACCCAUAUGUCAAUAGUUUGAACCACUUGUUGUAAAUAAAUAAACUUUUUUCUAUUUAAA